AUUUCUUCGGAGUAUGGGCAUCUUUCCACGGAAUUCAGAAAUAUUUUUAAUAAGAUGCUACACAAUGAAAGACUGAUAAGCAGUGAAACUGACUAUUGGGGACAUUUUAAUAUUCAGUUCACCUCUUUCACCCUUUGCCUCGGGGCAGCCAGCACACUUUGCACAACCUGGACUUUAGCAGGAUUUGGAAGAAUUCACCUUAGGGAAAUUAAAACUGCAGAUACAGUCAAGGGACCUAUGAUUACAAAUAAUCCACACACACCCAUUAUUUGGCAAUGCUGAACUAAAUUGCUACAAACCCAGACGUUUGAUUUUUCAAUGUUUCUUGGGUAACCACAUGUACUGUAAUAACUUUUUUUUUUAAUUUUUUUUCAACGUUUUUUUAUUUAUUUUUGGGACAGAGAGAGACAGAGCAUGAACGGGGAGGGGCAGAGAGAGGGAGACACAGAAUCGGAAACAGGCUCCAGGCUCUGAGCCAUCAGCCCAGAGCCCGACGCGGGGCUCGAACUCCCGGACCGCGAGAUCGUGACCUGGCUGAAGUCGGACGCUUAACCGACUGCGCCACCCAGGCGCCCCAUACUGUAAUAACUUUUAAGUGAGUCAUCUUUUCAGCCUAAAUCAACGUGAAUGUGACAAAAGCAGUUUGGCCUUUGUUUUGUUUUAAUAAUGGACAGGACUCUAACAGAUAUAAUUAGAUGUUUGUAUAACCCCUCCCCACACAUACACAUGCACAGUUAGAGCUGGUAGUUCUUCAUUGUUGUAGAUACUUGGGCAGAACACCCAGAUUCCCUUUCAGAGCUCUUCUCCUCAGGGCAGAAGUGUUGCCUGCUGGUAGCUCACAACCGAGACUCUCCCUAAGGGAAUCCUCUGUGGAAGGAAGCUGCUGGGUUCCAGAUUACCUGCUCUACCUCUCCCGCGUGGCCUUCAUCCAAUGAUUGGUCCAUUCAGGAGUUCAAAGGCCCGCCAGCUACAUCUGUUUCCAUCUUCUCUGGAGACUCAUCCUAACUCCCAUUCAACUUUUCCAUCCAUACAGUCUCUUUUCCUUGCUCCAUCACAAGGAUGUCUUCCCAAAUCCCUUGCCAAGAAAUAU
rnacentral:lncRNA from 1 species